GGCCCAACCUGUUGAUCAACAGUCUUUGAUCGUAGGGGCCGCAUGAUAAGAGGCUGAAGCAAAGGCUGAUACAGAGGCUCAAGCAACUCCGAUACUUCACUACCUGUCCUACUGGCCAAAAGAGCCAAAGCACACACUUUCUCACAAUAAUAGAUGCAUUGGGAUUGAAUAAUUCUGAAGCCAAAAAAUCAACCACCCCUUGAAAACUUUGCCUGCGUGAAUCACUGUUUGCUUCAUCAACAUUAUUCACCACCCGAAGAACCUGUGUUAGCACUUGACUAGUCUCUUCC
rnacentral:misc_RNA from 1 species